CUCACACUCACACACAGUGACUCUGAUCAGCUGUUUUUCUCCUGUUUCUUGUUUUUUACCUGCAGGUGCAGGAGCGUCUACCUGCACCGUGAGGAAGACAGACUACGCCUUUGAGGUGACGGCGGACACUGACCCCUGACCUCUGACCCCAAUAAAGAGCACUGAUUUAAAUCUGAUCUGAGGUCUGAUCACAGCAGGACCAUCUCUGAGGAGGUCUCAUGGUCUGACCUGCUGCACAGUUUCAGGUUCAGGAGAUUAGAUCAAUAAAUUCAGAUUUUAAAAAACGUCCUGAUGUGGGCGGAGUCUCAGGUGAGUUUCUCUUCAGACGUCUGCCGCUGUCACAGCCUGAGAAGAUUUCACCGUAGGAUAUCUGAGAUGAAGAUAUUGAUCCUCAGAUCUGACAGCCUCCUUCAUCACAGAGGAGAGUGACCCGUUCUUGAUGUGGGUCGGUACAGUAAUUCUGGUACCAGUGAGCGUAAAGACGAUGAACACACCUGUCCAAAUUUAAAUUUUUAACA